rnacentral:lncRNA from 1 species
UACACUCCUUUACCUUAUGCCCCAAAAGACCUACUAAUCAAGUUGUUCGCCCAAAUCGCGACGACUCUUGCCUCCUUUGCGUGACCAAGGGUCCAUCACCACUAGUCCACCACCGUGACAAUCGACAGCAUUCAAAAACCACCAGGCCGCACCAAUGUUAGCGGCGACAUCUAGGGUGGUUGGGAGGUCAAAUUUGGUUGUUGGCUGGACUAGUCAUUCAUCUGCAAGAAAAGGAGGCAGAAAAAAAAUAUGAGAGAUGCAAUGAAACUUGGAAAAUGAAAGGGAGAGGCCAAAGCUUGACAGGCUUCCAAAAUGGGCUCUUUAUUUUCCUUUUUGUUGCUCUAAUUUUUUAGAGGUUCAGAUAAGGGCUAUAAAUAUACGGUAAUUUGAAUUUCCAAUUUUUUUUGUAUUUCAAUAUUUUAUGCUUUGGAUUUUAGUGUUGUUUUGAUUAUUUAAGAACCGUAAUUUUUAUCAACAAGAUUUUUCUUCUUUUGUUAUUUAUAUCACUUUUUGUUUGCUUAUUUACUAAAAUUAUUUUAUUAUAUUGUUAUAGUUAAACCAAUCAAAUCAAUCGAAUCAAAGAUUAUAUUAAGUGAUUAAAGUUUAUAUGGUUUUAAUUGAGUAAUUUGGUCAGUUCAAUUACUUUUUAAAAAUAUAUAUAUUUUAAUUUUUUCACCAAAUUGAGCGACUGCCUUCAUCUAAUUGUUAGUUGUGUGAGAUUAUUAGAUAAUUUAGUUUAUUAUCUGUGCAUGAAUAUCAAUAUAUUAUUGAGAUAGAGAAAUUGACUUAAUUAGAUUUUGUUUAGAUGAUAAUUUUGCUUUUUGUUUUGUAAGAACUAAAUUAUAUAAGAAUAGUUAGAAAUAAAAAAUGUAGUCUAAAAUAGUAAAAAAAUAUUAAAAAGUAAAUAAUGAAAGUAUGAAUAAUACAAAGCUCAAGACAGUAGAAAUGUCUUUGAACGGAAUCCCUUCAUUAAUUACAAUUCACAAGCCGUAAGGCAUGCCAUUAGUCAUUUGAUGAACUGUGUUGACAGUUAAAGGUUUAGGCAUGUCUCAUUCUAUUUUGUGGUGGGAUAUAACCGGUGCAUGAACCCAGACAGAUGUAGCUCACUAAGUUCAAGCAAACCUUCUUAUAUUCAUUCAUCAUAACUUGUCCCAUUAACCAUAAUCAUCAUAAAUAAAGCAUACAAUAUCAAACUCAUGUAUGCAUCCAUAGGCAACUAUACACAAUUAUAAAACUUCUCAACAUAAACUGUGCAAGUGCAUUCAUUCAUAAUAAACUCAGAGUUAACAACUCAUACAUCAUGCCAUAAUCAUUUCCCAACACCCUCGGGUGUACAUUCAUCCAUAACAUUCAUAAGUAUAUGCCAAGCAUUGGCUACAUCAUAUAAACAUGUUCAAUAUCUAUAAACAUAAACAUAUCCAUAAACAUAAAAACCAAUUCGUUAGCGGAACAUGACCUAACUCUCUAGACAUCAAAUGGACUGUUAGACACCUACCAUAAAAAGAUGAAUGGAUCACAUCUCCUAGACUUCAGAGUUGAAUGCUAUCACUUAUUUGCAAACAAAAAUAUUUGAGAAAAAUAACGUGUGAGUCAUAAAUACUCCAUGAGUGAAUACGAGAAUGGGACAAGCCAAGGCAAGGAUUUUUUGCACAAAUUACAUUACUAAUGUAAACAUGAAUUUUAGAUAAAUAUACUUCAUUUCAAAUAUCUCAUAAAAUAGAGUUGUUAUACACGAGUCUCAUUUUCAAAGUGGAAUUGACAUUUCAUAAACAUAUUGUUCGAUAGAUAAGCCUUGUAGGAAAAUAAGGAAGUUGUACUUUACUUGUGGUAUUGGAUCCUCCUUAAGGGAAACGAUACUUAACCAUAUAUUCCAAGCUAAAGGUGAUUUACUCCAAUCUUUUCAUAAAUCAUAUGAGCUGCUCAUGUACUAAAGAUUCACCAAGAGAAACCAAUCAUAACAUUUAGUGAUCAAUGUCGAACCCAUAUAACUAAAGUAAUCAUUUUUCAAUUCAUAUAACUCAGUGAUCAAAUCAAUCCAUGAAACUCAAGUGACCAUCCUUUCUUUAUAAUCUAUAAACUUAACUAAUGCCUUGGGAUUUAUUUUAUCUAUCAACCCAUCUUGGCUAUCGUAUAGCUUAGAGUUUAAUUUACAACUCAAUCAAACAUCAUAAACACAAGAAAGAUUCACAAGAGGCAUCAUAAUAACAAAAAUUAAUGUGCAAUAAUCAUGAAUUCAAGAUGCCUACUGGUUUGGGCAUCCUACGUCUAAGCUCAUGAGUGGUACAUUAGCCUCACUUAUGUGGAGCGUGUGACCAUGUAGUGGAAUUUUUGCCUCACCAUGCCUAGGGAUUGCUUAACUCAUAUCACUAUGCAUUGGCACUACUUGUGGAAUGUUACCUCACACUGUGUGGAAUCAUUAGAAAAUUAUCAAAGCAUUGCAGGUGGGAAUCAUAAGCAGGACUUUUAGACCAUCCCUAUUUACCACCAUCUCUACAAGCUCAACUCAAUGUCUUAAUCAUAAUAUAGAAUUUUGCAUAUUCAUACAUACAUCAUCAACAUAUCAAGCACAUCUUUUUCUAUAAACCAUAUUUAUGAACAAUCUUAUCUCUAAAGGUAUAUAGCACUACAUCACAUAUUAACCUAUAGAAUCAUGUCACACAUGUUCUAGUAUUCCUCAAAUGAAAACAUAUCAUAAGCUUAAGGGUGGGAAUGUCUACCUCCAACCAAGCAUUCAUUUCUUAUGCUUUUUUGUAGCAAUAAUGUAGGUAGUAAUUUUGUCAUGACCCGGUAAUUCCCUCUAGCCCGUGACAACGGCCGCGAUGUCUCGAUCGACACUUAUUACCCGGAAUGUCAACCGAAACCCCGCAAGGCUUUAAUAUCAGUUUUCGCACCUCCCUAGUGAACAAUAGGUGUUAAGUAUCAUGUUUUGAGAGAUUAUAAACUAUUUCCAAAUCAAAACAAUAGAAAAAUAAUUUUUUUCUCACAUGGGCAUUUUCGUUAUUUUUUCUCAAAAGUCUCGAAACCAUCUAAAAAUGCAGUAUGCGAGUAUAAAACACAUAAUUCAUAAUAAAAAAUAAGUUCAGAUAUCUAAAAUAUUCAUUUAAAGUGAAAUUAUAAUUAUUUGAAUAUAAUAUAAAUAUUCAAUAAAAUAUUUUAUUUUCUUAUAAAACAAUAUUUAUAGUUACCGGUAAAUAAUUUUUGUAGCGUAAAAGUCAAAUAGAUUCAUACAUACUGUAAUACAGAUAACCAAAGUAUAAAAUUUAAUUUACAAUGACACGUGAGCUCACGAACGACCAAAAGUAUCAAAAGCGGUAAACCUACAGUUUUUGAGGAUGCAAGUCCAACUGUAGCCCUCAACAAAGUGAGCUAUCUACCGACUAUUCUGAGCUUGAAAGAGGUGAAAAGGAGGGUGGUGAGAUUAUUUAAUCUCAGUGAAUAAACAAAUACCAUCUAAAAUAUCUAAAACUGAGUAAAUGGAGACAGAUAAAAUAGUUUAACAUACUAUAAUUCAUCACCUUUCAACUCAUUUCAAC